UUCCAACCAGGAAGAGGAAAUGGGACGAGAAG
rnacentral:piRNA from 1 species